rnacentral:lncRNA from 1 species
AUGACUCUUCUAAAUGAACAAACAAAAAAUCAAAGAAAUAAAUAGAAAGUAAACAACUGGGCAUCCUAUUUGCAACCCUCUUGUGGAUUAGGAUCUAGGUCUUGGUCCUCUUGAUCUGAAAUAGUUAAUGAAAGAGUGAGCUACACUAAUCCAAUAAGAAUGUCACGCUACUCACCGAUACAGAAAUGAAAGUUGGUAAAAAUCAUAAAAAUAACUAAUG